rnacentral:rRNA from 2 species
UGGGGAAUAUUGCACAAUGGGGGAAACCCUGAUGCAGCAACGCCGCGUGAGUGAUGAAGUAUUUCGGUAUGUAAAACUCUAUCAGCAGGGAAGAAAUUGACAGUACCUGACUAAGAAGCCCCGGCUAACUACGUGCCAGCAGCCGCGGUAAUACGUAGGGGGCAAGCGUUAUCCGGAUUUACUGGGUGUAAAGGGAGCGUAGACGGUGAUGCAAGUCUGAAGUGAAAGCCCGGGGCUCAACCCCGGGACUGCUUUGGAAACUGUAUGACUAGAGUGCAGGAGAGGUAAGCGGAAUUCCUAGUGUAGCGGUGAAAUGCGUAGAUAUUAGGAGGAACACCGGUGGCGAAGGCGGCUUACUGGACUGUAACUGACGUUGAGGCUCGAAAGCGUGGGGAGCAAACAGG